rnacentral:misc_RNA from 1 species
GAUGAAGAACGCAGCGAAAUGCGAUAAGUAAUGUGAAUUGCAGAAUUCAGUGAAUCAUCGAGUCUUUGAACGCACAUUGCGCCCCCUGGUAUUCCGGGGGGCAUGCCUGUCCGAGCGUCAUUGCUGCCCUCAAGCACGGCUUGUGUGUUGGGCCCCCGUCCCCGGUUUCCCCCGGGGACGGGCCCGAAAGGCAGCGGCGGCACCGCGUCCGGUCCUCGAGCGUAUGGGGCUUUGUCACCCGCUCUGUAGGCCCGGCCGGCGCCAGCCGACACCCAACUUUAUUUCUAAGGUUGACCUCGGAUCAGGUAGGGAUACCCGCUGAACUUAAGCAUAUCAAUAAGCGAGGA